AGAACGAACGCUGGCGGCAUGCCUAAUACAUGCAAGUCGAACGAACACUUCGGUGUUAGUGGCGCACGGGUGCGUAACGCGUGGGAAUCUGCCCUUGGGUUCGGAAUAACAGUUGGAAACGACUGCUAAUACCGGAUGAUAUCGAAAGAUCAAAGAUUUAUCGCCCAGGGAUGAGCCCGCGUAGGAUUAGCUAGUUGGUGAGGUAAAGGCUCACCAAGGCGACGAUCCUUAGCUGGUCUGAGAGGAUGAUCAGCCACACUGGGACUGAGACACUGCCCAGACUCCUACGGGAGGCAGCAGUAGGGAAUAUUGGACAAUGGGCGAAAGCCUGAUCCAGCAAUGCCGCGUGAGUGAUGAAGGCCUUAGGGUUGUAAAGCUACUUUUACCCGAGUAUGAUAAUGAACAGUAUCGGAGAAUAAGCCCCGGACUAACUCCGUGCCAGCAGCCGAC
rnacentral:rRNA from 1 species